AAGUCGUAACAAGGUUUCCGUAGGUGAACCUGCGGAAGGAUCAUUACCAAAAAAUCCAAUACCAACCCCUUUGUGUGAAUUCUUUGAAUGUAUUUUGGGGUAAGGGAGUUUACCCUCUUUUACCCCACUUGUAUAUAACUCUUACCGGAGUUGUGUACAGACCAUUUCAAACCUAUACUAAACAACUUUUAUUAGGGAGAAAUUCCUAGUAAAGUUUUUAUUAACAAUUUUUUUAUUAACAAAACAAAAAUUAAAAGUUAAACAACUUUUAACGGUGGAUCUCUUGGCUCGU
rnacentral:misc_RNA from 1 species